AAGAGAAAGAGAGAGAGAGAGAGGGGGGGGGAGGAAAGAUAAGAGAUGAGAGAUGAGAAGAGAGAGAGAAAAGAACAGGGGAAGAGGGGAAGAAGCGAGAGAAAUAUACAUCAGAGGCAGAGAAAGGAAUGAAAGAAAGGAACAUGCAAAAAAAAAAAAAAAAAAAAAGACAAGAAAGAUCGGGAAAAGAGGAUAGAAAGAAAACAGAAAACGGAAAAGAAAGUGACUUUACCAUCAGUAGACGAUGGUCGGAUUAGCCAGCAUUAAUAACAAAUAAUAAGAUGAAAGAUAAAAAGAUAAAGUACGAAUGGCCCUUCCCCAUCCCCCCCCCUCCCAGAUAGCGUAAUAAAGUGUCGUUUUGGGUAGAAAUUCCGAGAGAAAAGGUUAUUUUCUGUGAUAAUCAAGGGUACGUUUUAAGGUGUGGCCAUUUAGAGGAGUAACAUUUAUAAAAAAGACGGAGUGGACGAUGUUUUAUAAGGAAAGAUGUAGAUAUGACUUAGAGAACAAUGGGAGUUUUUCAUAUUUGGGGGUUAAAAGAAGAAGAAAAUAAAAGGUAGAAUACUGAAUAGUAGAAAUACUGAAAGUAGAUUAGUGAUGAAUGGCAAUUUUCAUAUCUAUGUGGGAUAUUAUAUUCUGGAAUUUAUCGGGAAUACAAAAAGUUAACAUGAUCUGAAAACAUUACAAAUAUUAUUUCCUAUAUAAUUUAUCAAAAUGCGAUGAAAGCGUUGAAAUGUUCAAUUAUAAUAUAAAACGAGGAAAUUAUUUAGCAAGGGGAAUGACAAACAACGAUUGAAAUCUGUUUCGGUAUCAUUACAAAUUAAAAGAACCAUUAUUAAGGGCAACGUGGAAAAACAACAAAAACUAAAUAAAGCUAAAGAGAAAAGAAAAAUUGGAAUACAAUUACGGCAGAAUAAUAAUAAUAAUAAAAAAAAAAUCAUGUAAAUUAAGCCAUUAGGAAAACUUUGGGAGAACAACAGGAGUAACUUUUUUCUAAUUACUUAAUUUUCGUUUUCUAUGCUAUUAGUAUUAUUACUGCUAUUGCUGUUACCAUUACUAUAUUAUUACUAUUGCUAUUACGAUUAUCAUUAUCAUUGUUAUUAUUAUUAUUAUUGCUAUUAUUAUUAUUAUUAUUAUUAUUAUUAUUAUCAUUAUUAUUAUUAUUAUUAUUAUUAUUAUUAUUAUUAUCAUCCCGGUAUUAUUUUCAAUAUGAUUAUCAUUAUCAUUAUCAUCGCUAUUAUCAUCACUACCAUUACUGCUACUAUAAUUUUCUUAAAAAAAUGGUUGCUAAAAAUCAUGGUAAUAUGAAAGGUUUCGAUAAUGAAAAUGGUAAUAUUGUGAUGUAUUUCGCUGACAAAAAUGGUAGUGCUAUGAAAGACUUUAGUAAAAAAAAUGGCACUAUUAAUGGUAAUAUGAAAGGUUUCGUUGAUAAAAUGGUAGAAUAACGAAAGGUCUUAAUAACAUAUUUAUAUAUUAUGGAAGUUUUGGUCUGUAAAACUGGUAACAGUAUGAAAGGUUUCGAUAACGAAAAUGGUAACAGUAUGAAAGGUUUCUAUAAUGAAAAUGGUAACUAUAUCAAAGGUAUCGAUAACGAAAAUGGUAACAGUAUGAAAGGUUUCGAUUACGAAAAUGGUAACUAUAUCAAAGGUAUCGAUAACGAAAAUGGUAACAGUAUGAAAGGUUUCGAUUACGAAAAUGGUAACUAUAUCAAAGGUAUCGAUAACGAAAAUGGUAACAGUAUGAAAGGUUUCGAUUACGAAAAUGGUAACUAUAUCAAAGGUAUCGAUAACGAAAAUGGUAACAGUAUGAAAGGUUUCGAUAACGAAAAUGGUAACAGUAUGAAAGGUUUCGAUAACGAAAUGGUAACAGUAUGAAAGGUUUCGAUAACGAAAAUGGUAACAGUAUGAAAGGUUUCGAUAACGAAAAUGGUAACAGUAUGAAAGGUUUCGAUAAUGAACAUGGUAACUAUAUCAAAGGUUUCGAUAACGAAAAUGGUAACAGUAUGCAAGGUUUCGAUAAUAAACAUGGUAACAAAAUGAAAGGUUCGUCAAUAAAAUGAUAGUAUAACGAAAGGUCUCGGUAACAAAACCCAUUGCAUUAUGAAAGGUUUGGUUCAUGGAAAUGGUAGCAUGAAAGAUUUCGUGAUAAUCAUGAAGACAUAAUAUGAAAUAAUAGAUAACUAAUAACAGAUAUUAUAGAAUUAUGAAUGGUUUCACUAAUGAAAAUGGUAUGAAAGAUUUUGCUAGUAUGGAAGGUUUGUGUUAAGGUAUCUGAAGAAAUAAUUAAAUAACGAAAAUGUUUCUAAAAUUGGUAGUAUUUAGAAGAAAAUUAUUGACAAAAUUCAUACUAUUAUGAAAGGUUUUGCUGACUAAAAUAUUUGCAUUAUGAUUUUUUUUUCUUUUUCUUUUUUUCUUAUGAAAGGUUUCGAUGGUAAAGAAGGUAAUAUUAUGAUAACAAAUAGUUGCAUUAAGAUAUUUUCUGAUAAAGAGGGUAAAUGAAUGAAAGGUUUGAUUUAAAAGAAUAUAGCAUGAAAGGUAUCUUAAUAAACGUGGUAAUGCGUAGGGUCUUUGAUGAUAAAAAAGUACUAUAAUGAUUUUCCUACGAAAAGCAUGAAAGGUUUAAAUGAUAAGUAUGCUAGUAUAAUGUAAAGUUUGUCUGAUGAAAAUGGUAAUAGUAUGAACAAUUUCGAUAAAAAAGUAGUAUUAUGUAAUAUUUACUUCAUUGAUAGAAAUGGUUGAUAAUAAAUGGUAUUAUUACGAUGAAAAUAGUAGCUUGAAAGGUUACGUUGAGAAGAAUGUUAGUGUCAUGAAAGAUUUUGAUGAUAAAAUUCGUAGUAUUAUGAAAGGUUUAAUUUACAAAAUUGGUAGCAUUAUGAAAAGUGUACUUCAUAGAAAUUGCGGUAUGAGAGGUUUUAUGGUAAACAUGGUAGCAUUAUGAAAUUUUCCCUAAUAAUAAGGGUAACGUAUUAAAAGUUCUUGUUGAUACAGAGGUAACAUUUGCAAUAAGUUGAUAAAAUGGUAAUACUAUGAUUGAUAUCUUUGAUAUAAACGGGAUCAUUAGGAAAGGUUUCACAUUGAUGAAAGCUUUCGAUAACGAAAAUGGUAACAGUAAUACAAAUGAUCACAAAAUGAAAGGUUCGUCAAUAAAAUGGUAGUAUCCUUAAUAUGAAAUAAUGGAUAACUAAUAAUAGAUAUUAUAGAAAUAUGAAUGAUUUCACUAAUGAUUUUGAAAGUAUGGAAGGUUUGUGUUAAGGUAUCUGUAGAGAUAAUUAGAUAACGAAAAUGGUAGUAUUAUGAAAAGGUUGGUUGAUGCAUUUUUUUCGUUUCUAAUUGGUAGUAUUUAGAAGAAAAUGAUUGACAAAAUUCAUUCAUACUAUUAUAAAAGGUUUUGCUGACCAAAAUGGUUGCAUUAUGAUUUUUUUUUUCUAUGAAAGGUUUCGAUGGAAAAGAAGGUAAUAUGAUGAAAUAUUGUUGCGUAUAGAUUUUUUUUUUCUGAUAAAGAGGGUAAAUUAAUGAAAGGCUUGAUUAUAAAAAAAUAUAGCAUGAAAGAUAUCUUAAUAAACAUGGUAAUGCGUAAGAUCUCUGAUGAUAAAAAAGUACUAUAAUGAUUUUCCUACAAAAAGUAUGAAAGGUUUAAAUGAUAAGUAUGCUAGUAUAAUGUAAAGUUUGUCUGAUGAAAAUGGUAACUGUAUGAAAGGUUUCGAUAAAAAGUGGUAGUAUUAUUCGUAAUAUUUACUUCAUUGAUAGAAAUGGUUGAUAAUAAAUGGUAUUAUUACGAAGAGUUUCCAUUACAUAGAAUAGCUGAUGAAAAUAGUAGCUUUAAAGGUUUCGUUGAAAAGAAUGUUAGUGUCAUGAAAGAUUUUGAUGAUAAAAUUCGUUGUAUUAUGAAAGGUUUAGCUUACAAAAAGUUAGCAUUAUGAAAAGCUUAGUUCAUAGAAAUUGCGGUAUGAGAGGUUUUAUGGUAAAUAUUGUAGCAUUAUGAAAUUUUCUCUAAUAAUAAGGGUAACGCAUUAAACGUUCUUGUUGAUACAGAGGUAACAUUUACAAUAAGUUGAUGAAAGGGUGAUACUAUGAAUGAUAUCUUUAAUAUAAACGGGAUCAUUAGGAAAGGUUUCACAUUGAUGAAAGGUUUCCAUAAUGAACAUAGUAACAAUAUCAAAGCUUUCGAUAACGAAAAUGGUAACAGUAUGAAAGGUUUGGAUAAUAAGCAUGGUAACAAAAUGAAAGGUUCGUCAAUUAAAUGGUAGUAUCAUUAAUAUGAAAUAAUGGAUAACUUAUGAUAGAUAUUAUAGAAUUAUGAAUGGUUUCACUAAUGAAAAUGGUAAGAAAGAUUUUGCUAGAAUGGAAGGUUUGUGUUAAGGUAUCUGUAGAGAUAAUUAGAACGAAAAUGGUAGUAUUAUGAAAAGUUUGGUUGAUGCAUUUUUUUUCGUUUCUAAAAUUGGUAAUAUUUAGAAAAUUAUUGACAAAAUUCAUUCAUACCACUAUAAAAGGUUUUGCUGACCAAAAUGGUUGCAUUAUGAAAAUGUUUUUUUUUUUUCUAUGAAAGGUUUCGAUGGAAAAGAAGGUAAUAUUAUGAUGAAAUAUUGUUGCGUACAGAUUGUUUUCUGAUAAAGAGGGUAAAUUAAUGAAAGGUUUGAUUAUAACAAAAAUAUUGCAUGAAAGGUAUCUUAAUAAACAUGGUAAUGCGUAAGAUCUUUGAUGAUAAAAAAGUACUAUAAUGAUUUUCCUAUAAAAAGUAUGAAAGGUUUAAAUGAUAAGUAUGCUAGUAUAAUGCAAAGUUUGUCUGAUGAAAAUGGUAACAGUAUGAAAGGUUUCGAUAAAAAGUGGUAGUAUUAUUCGUAAUAUUUACUUCAUUGAUAGAAAUGGUUGAUAAUAAAUUAUAUUAUUACGAAGGGUUUCCAUUACAUAGAAUGGCUGAUGAAAAUAGUAGCUUGAAAGGUUUCGUUGAGAAGAAUGUUAGUGUCAUGAAAGAUUUUGAUGAUAAAAAUCGUAGUAUUAUGAAAGGUUUAGCUCAUAGAAAUUGCGGUAUGAGAGGUUUUAUGGUAAAUAUGGUAGCAUUAUGAAAUUUUCUCUAAUAAUAAGGGUAACGUAUUAAAAGGUAUUGUUGAUACAGAGGUAACAUUUACAAUAAGUUGAUGAAAGGGUGAUACUAUGAAUGAUAUCUUUAAUAUAAACGGGAUCAUUAGGAAAGGUUUCACAUUGAUGAAAGGUUUCCAUAAUGAACAUAGUAACAAUAUCAAAGCUUUCGAUAACGAAAAUGGUAACAGUAUGAAAGGUUUGGAUAAUAAGCAUGGUAACAAAAUGAAAGGUUCGUCAAUUAAAUGGUAGUAUCAUUAAUAUGAAAUAAUGGAUAACUUAUGAUAGAUAUUAUAGAAUUAUGAAUGGUUUCACUAAUGAAAAUGGUAUGAAAGAUUUUGCUAGUAUGGAAGGUUUGUGUUAAGGUAUCUGAAGAGAUAAUUAGAUAACGAAAAUGGUAGUAUUAUGAAAAGUUUGGUUGAUGCAUUUUUUUCGUUUCUAAAAUUGGUAGUAUUUAGAAGAAAAUUAUUGACAAAAUUCAUACUAUUAUGAAAGGUUUUGCUGACUAAAACGGUUGCAUUAUGAGUGUUUUUUUGAGAAGUUAAUAUAAUGAUAAAAAAUGGUUGCAUUAAGAUAUUUUCUGAUGAAGAGGGUAAAUGAAUGGAAGGUUUGAUUUAAAAGAAUAUAGCAUGAAAGGUAUCUUAAACAUGGUAAUGCGUAAGGUUUUUUAUGAUAAAAUAGUACUAUAAUGAUUUUCCUACAAAAAGUAUGAAAGGUUUAAAUGAUAAGUAUGCCAGUAUAAUGUAAAGUUAGUCUGAUGAAAAUGGGAACAGUAUGAAAGGGUAGCUUACAAAAAUGGUAGCAUUAUGAAAAGCUUAGUUCAUAGAAAUUGCGGUAUGAGAGGUUUUAUGAUCAACAUGGUAACAGUAUGAAAGGUUCGUCAAUAAAAUGAUAGUAUUAUUAAUAUGAAAUAAUGUAUAACUAAUAAUAGAUAUUAUAGAAUUAUGAAUGGUUUCACUAAUGAAAAUGGUAUGAAAGAUUUUACUAGUAUGGAAGGUUUAUGUUAAGGUAUCUGAAGAGUUAAUUAGAUAACGAAAAUGGUAGUAUGAAAAGUUUGGUUGAUGCAUUUUUUUCGUUUCUAAAAUUGGUAGUAUUUAGAAGAAAAUUAUUGACAAAAUUUAUUCAUACUAUUAUAAAAGGUUUUGCUGACUAAAAUGGUUGCAUUAUGAUUUUUUUUCUAUGAAAGGUUUCGAUGAUAAAGAAUGUAAUAUUCUGAUAAAAAAUUGGAUGCAUUAAGUUGCAAUAAGGGUAAAUUAUUGAAAGGUUUGAUAAAAAUUAUAGCAUGAAAGAUAUCUUAAAAAGUAUGGUAAUGUGUAAGGUCUUUGAUGAUAAGAAAGUACUAUAGUAAUAUUCCUAUAAAAAGUAUGAAAGGUUUAAUAGUAUGGUGAGUAUGCCAGUAUAAUGUAAGGUUUGGCUGAUAAAUAUGAUAGCAGUAUGAAAGGUUUCGUUAAAAAAGUAGUAUUAUGUAAUAGUUACUUCAUGAAAGAGGUAAUAUAAAAGAUUUUAUUGAAAAAAUGGCUGAUAAUAAAUGGUAUUAUUGUGAAGGGUUUCCAUUACAUAGAAUGGCUGAUGAAAAUAGUAGCUUGAAAGGUUUCGUUGAUUAGAGUGGUAGUGUCAUGAAAGUUUUUGAUGAUAAAAUUCGGAGUAUUAUGAAAGGUUUAAUUUGCAAAAAUGGUAGCAUUAUGAAAAGUUUAGUUCAUAGAAACUGCGGUGUGAGAGGUUUUAUGGUAAACAUGGUAGCAUUAUGAUUUUUUUCCUAAUAAUAAGGGUAACGUAUUAAAAGGUCUUGUUGAUAUAAAGGUAACAUUUACAAUAAGUUUACAAAAUCGUAAUACUAUGAAUGAUUUCUUUAAUAUAAACGGGAUCAUUAGGAAAGGUUUCACAUUGAUAAAAAUGAUAGUGUUAAAUUAAGCUUGGUCGAUAGAAGAGACGGCAUGAAAGUUUUCGUUCAUAUGAAUAUAUGAAUUGAAAAGGUUAAGCGAGGAAAAUGGUAUAAAGAAAUGUAACAUUAUGGAAAGUGUAAAUAACAUAAGCAAAAUAGUAUUAUUAAAGGUUUGGUUGCUGGAAAAGAUGAAAAGUUUGGUUAGUGUAAAUGGUAGUACGACGAAAGAUUUUGAUGGUAAAUAUGGUAUCAUGAAAGGUUUCGUUUAUGAAAUAGGAUCUUAAGAUAUAUUUGGUAACGGAAAUGUGAAAUAUUUGGUUGAUAAAAAGGGUAUUAUGAAGGGUUUUGAUGAAUGAAAGGGUAACUUUGUGAAAAGUUUCGUUGAUAAAAAUGUAUUGUGAAAAAAAAAAUUGCUGAUAAAAUUGUAUAGUAUUAUAAAGGGUUUUGUUGACAAAUAUGAUGGCUUUGAUAAAAAAAGGUUAGUUUUAUAAAAGAUCUCGGUAACAAAAAACAUUGGUUUAUGAAAGGUUUGGGUAAUACAAAUGGCAACAGGAAAGGUUUCUUGAUAACCAUGGUAACAUUAUGAAAGCUUUCCUUAAUAAGAAGGGUAACCGUAUUAAAGAUAAUUACUUUGAUAAUAUGUAUGGUAGAAUGAUUAAUGGUUUCACUAAUGAAAAUGGUAUGAAAGAUUUUGAUGAUGAAAAUGCUAGCAUGAAUGGUUUCGUUUAUACUGUGGGAUCUGAAGAAAUAAUUAGAUGGUGCAAAUGGUAGUAUUGUGAAAGGUUUGAUUGAUAAAAACCUGAUUUUCGCUGCUAAAACUAGUGGUAUUUUGAAGAUAAUCGUGAACAAAAUUCACACCAUUAUGAAUGGUUUUGCUGACUAAAAUGGCUGCUUUAUGAAACUUUUUUAAUGAAAAGUUUCGAUCAUGAAGGUGCUAUUAUAAUUUUAUUGUUGAUGAAAAUAGUUGCAUUAAAAAUGGUAAAAUAAUGAAAGGUUUAGGUGAUAAAAGUUAUUGCAUGAAAGGUGUAAUAAUAAACAUGGUAAUGGAAAAAAAA